ACAUGGAGGAGAGAGGACGUUCACUUAGCAGCCUGGCUAAUGUAGCCCGUGGCUCGCAAAAUAUUACGAAAUUAACAACAUUUUUCACCUGGAAAGUGAACUGACUUGCCUGGGGCGUCCAAAAAUGAUGAAAGAAACUCAUAACCACUUGAGGGAGAGUAAAAGAUGAGGUUGAAAUACCCUUGUUAGAGCCUAUUUUGUGGCACUACAGCAUCUCUUUGUGUAACCUGUGUCACGGGGUUUCUGCAAGGAGAAAGAAAAACAUUGAAGAUGUGAGCAGUCCCACAAAGAGGCUUGAUCUUCAAAAUGGUGGAGCUUGUUGUUUCCUGAGUCUGAGUGAAGAGGUUGUGUAUCAGAUAACCGUACCCUCUGUUGGCGGACUCAAAUUGGACUGAAUUCCUCAGUAAAGUGGUCUCUCAUCUCUAUCAUGGGACGCGUUGUACUUCAUGGUUACUGGGUGGUCCUGUCACAGAGGGCAGCAGGCCAGGCACACGUGUACCAGUGCUCUAAAGAAGGCCAGUUCAGUGGAAACUAGCAAGCAAACACUCCAAAAAGGACACGCGCUGCCUCAAUGUCAGCAAAUAUUUGGUCACAACUUCAAAGAGCAGUGACAGCCAUUUGAAACUGCGGAUCGGCCUCGUGUUUGUCACUGUGAGAGCAGGUGGAAUGUGCCACGUGGCAACAUGUUUUGGAGGCAGGCUGUGACGUAACAAUACACUGCUGUCACCUGCAUGUCCAGCUGUGCUGGUGGCUCAGAGAAGUGGACUAAUGAGGGUCCUGAGGUGAAUCUGAUGGAUUGAAUGAAGUGUAAUUAGAAAGAUGGAUUGUCACUUAAGUGUGACAGCCAGCUCAUUCCGUCCCUGAAGUGGUCACAAAUCUGCCUACUAGUUUAUUAGGACUCUAUGGCCAAAAAAUAUAUAAUGAUAUCAUUAAAAUAGGGUAAAAUAUUGAGGUCUACAACUUGUUCCCUCUAAGGGUUUGGAUAAUAAAGAACAGCUCACAAAGUAUAUUUAUCUGGGUGUAGUCUGGCAGUUUAUACAGGUGUGUAUUAUUUGUCUGUCUUUCUAUAUGAUAUAUUCUGACUUUUUGACUUUUGAAUGAAAUUUUACCCUGUAUUUCCUGUAUGCAGAUACAUUGAAAUGCAUAAUGUGUUUAUCUGAGACAAAAGAGUUAAAGCACACAGCAUAGAUUCAUAUCUCAGCAUGUCAAUGUACAGUAUUCUCAUGAGUAUUUGUAUUCACAUCAAAUGUGGUUCUACCAAAUAUAUUUACUGUACUUAUUAAAAAGCACUGAAAUAUUGUCUUAACACAUUGACACACACAAUAUUGUGGUAUGGAUAAUAUCUAAAAUGCAUUGUUUUUGUAUGAUCAUGUCAAUAAACUCACAAAAAA